GGGCCCGUAGCUCAGCCAGGUAGACGUGAGGCCUAAAGCAUCGGGCUUUUAACCCGAGGGUCGUGGGUUCGAAUCCCACCGGGCCCG
rnacentral:tRNA from 1 species